ACAAAACUUCAGUCAGCUUGUCAUCUGUGCUGGUGGAAACACAUGUGCACGUUGACAGGUUGCAUAUCCACAUCCCUGUGCAUCCUAUGACUCCAAGUUGCCUUUGCGUGCCUACGGGCCAGCGACUUGAGAGUAUUUUUACACACUCUUGAAUGUAAUGGAAUGUCUAUUGUGCAUAUGUACAAUCAAAA
rnacentral:misc_RNA from 1 species